UUGUUAACCGAAACUGCUACAACCGCAAAAGUGUAAAACCGUUUUUAGCAUACACGAAAAAGAAAGAAAGAAAAAAAACAGGUUUAAAAGGAUAGAACAGUUACAAAAGGUCAAUCUUGUUAUUUUCAAAUAAACACCAGAGCGUCGAGGAGGGAAAAUGCCUUGCGAUUGUCCAGUUAUAGAAAACAAAGAAUGCAACAUGAAGGGGGGGGAGAAUGAUAAAAAGAGAGAGGGGGGAAGACGGGGUGAGAAAGAAACUGUGAACAGAGAAAGCUUUCCAAAGUUGAGAAGAAAGUUUUAUGUUCUCGUGUUGGGAGAGAACAUGAAUUUAGACAAGAAAAGCGAUCGAGUUUAAUGUUGGUGAGUGUAUCCUAGCAACCUUAUUGCCAGCUAUGGCAUAGAGAACCAAAAAGAAAGGAAAAAAAUGAAUAAAUUGCGGGACAGAGUCUAAAUGGGGAAAAGAAAGCAUCCGUAAUGCGAUCAAAUUUAGGAUGUUAGAGGCCUUUCCUGGCAAGAAGGAACAAAAUGCAAUGGAUUUAAUAACAGAAAAGAGAUGAAGGGAGUCGAGAAACAAGAGUUAAGAUGGAUUCAAGCAAUUGAAUGAAAGAGAAAAUACUUGCCAUCAGUUCGUUGAAUAUCAACGUUCAGGCCGACGGAGAUGCGGCCGAAUUCCAUGGUAGAAGUGUAAGGAGAUUCUUUCUCUCAAUUUAUAACCCUUUUCCUUCGCAAUUGCUCUUGUUUUAAUACAAUGUUGUUGUU